UUAUUAGAACAAAACCAAUCGGACUUUGGUCCGCUCUUUGGUGACUCUGAAUAACUACGCUGAUUGCACGGUCCUCGCACCGGCAACGCAUCUUUCAAGUGUCUGCCCUAUCAACUGUCGAUGGUAGUCUACGUGACUACCAUGGUUGUAACGGGUAACGGAGGAUAAGGGUUCGACUCCGGAGAGGGAGCCUGAGAAAUGGCUACCACAUCCAAGGAAGGCAGCAGGCGCGCAAAUUACCCACUCUCAGAACGAGGAGGUAGUGACGAAAAAUAACGAGGCAGGUCUCUUUGAGGUCUGCCAUCGGAAUGGGUACAAUUUAAACCCUUUAACGAGUAUCAAUUGGAGGGCAAGUCUGGUGCCAGCAGCCGCGGUAAUUCCAGCUCCAAUAGCGUAUAUUAAAGUUGUUGCGGUUAAAAAGCUCGUAGUUGGAUCUGCAGACAAGGAUGCUGGUCGGCCUACAAUGGUUCGCACUGGUACUCCUAGCCUAUAUGGCAAGUCGACUGUUGGUGCUCUUAACCGAGUGCCUUCAGCGGCUAGCGCGUUUACUUUGAAAAAAUUUGAGUGCUCAAAAGC
rnacentral:rRNA from 1 species